GGAGCUGUCGUCUAGCGGUUUAGGACACAUGCCUGUCACGCAUGAGAUCGCGGGUUCAAAUCCCGUCAGCUCCGCCA
rnacentral:tRNA from 3 species